GAUGGUUUGGGCCGAGUGGUCUAAGGCGCCAGAUUAGGCUGUGGUCUGAAAGGGCGUGGGUUCAAAUCCCACAGUGUCA
rnacentral:tRNA from 1 species